rnacentral:rRNA from 1 species
UACGUAGGGUGCAAGCGUUGUCCGGAAUUAUUGGGCGUAAAGAGCUCGUAGGCGGUCUGUCGCGUCUGCUGUGAAAACUCAGGGCUUAACCCUGAGCUUGCAGUGGGUACGGGCAGACUAGAGUGCGGUAGGGGGAGACUGGAAUUCCUGGUGUAGCGGUGAAAUGCGCAGAUAUCAGGAGGAACACCGGUGGCGAAGGCGGGUCUC